GCUCAGACCUACGAAAGCUAAGACCUAAGACCUAAUGUGUGCCAGCGUUACCUUCGGAUUGUGUACAAAGUAAGUAUACCGCCUAAUACAGUAGCAUAACAGUUGUGUCGUCACAACACCAGGUGGCGCCCUUUGUUGUCAACUAAACGUUCGUUACCGUUCAUUGUGCCUGGAUAACUUCAUAAUCUUAAUGGUUUAGAAUAGGCUUUCUGGAAUAGGCAUUUUAAAACCUAAUAAAUUACCAUCAAAAUGUACUAAAAACACAAAAGCUCGCAUUAUACAUUAGUUAUUUAACACACAUUUAAUCACCAAUUAAAAUUUACAAAGAAAAACUAAGAUACAACAUCUAAAUAAAUACGUUAGGAAUUGGGAUCAGUGGUUUGUCCGUGGAGAAAAUGGCGUCCGGUUGGCGAAUUCUUUUUAUCGUAGGUAAGUUGAGCAUAAUGAAUUAUUCAUUUUGUGUGACUGAAGGCUUUACUAGCGCAUGCGCAAUCUCGCUUCCAUGGGCUUUGCUCGCUGUAGCUUUUUUACGUCGCGGUGAGCGAAGGUUGGGUUAUCGGUGGGAUUCACUUAGACUGGGUUCCAGUCCUUAAUCUUUGUCUUAAUCAGUUGAAAUGCUUAAGAAUAAAUCGAUUUUGGCACAAAUGGCGUUCCGUAUUACUUAUUUGCAUGGCGUUCCAUAGUAUACUUUUUCUGGGAUUAGACAACUAGUAAUAAGCCUUUUCGCAGUUCCGACUGCGCAUGCGUCAGAUUGAAGACAAAAAAGUCUCUGGAAAUAAACAACCACGCUAGUCUUGCAGACAAAUUUUCAAAGUAUGGAACUUUCUUACCUUAAAUUUUGUAUAUAUCAUUUCUAGAUUUUCAAACAGUAACAUUUAAGUGACUGAUGAUUUAAUCAUAAAUUAUGAAGUUGUGUCCAGUAGUAGGUUGCAGCAACAGCUCAUCAUAUCACCUAGACAAGUGGAAACAACUUGACUGCACUAAACAUGGAAAUAAAAAUGGAAGUGGAUGUUGCGAUUGCCUUCCACCAUUCAGUUAAAGUUAAAAGACAAAGAUGAUUGCUAACCUAAGGAUCCAUGUAGAGAGAGCAAUAAACCGAUUGAAGGACUUCCAAAUCUUGAACUCUACAUUACCAAUUACUCUCAUCACAGUAUCUGAUGACAUAAUAACUGUGUGUGCUGCUCUAUGCAAUUUGCAACCAGAUCUAAUUUCUUGAAUGAAAGUAACUGAAUUGUAAUUAGGAAUGUGUAAAUAAAAUAAAGGAAAGUUUCUCUUCAAAUAAAUGAAAA